GAUGAAGAACGUAGCGAAAUGCGAUACUUGGUGUGAAUUGCAGAAUCCCGUGAACCAUCGAGUCUUUGAACGCAAGUUGCGCCCGAAGCCAUCAGGUUGAGGGCACGUCUGCCUGGGCGUCACAUAUCGUUGCCCAAUGCCUAUUGCAGUGCAAUAGGAAUUUCUAGGGCGAAUGAUGGCUUCCCGUGAGCGUUGUUGCCUCGCGGUUGGUUGAAAAUCGAGUCCUUGGUAGGGUGUGGCAUGGUAGAUGGUGGUCGAGUUAGAACGAUACCGAUCAUGUGCAUGCUCCCCAAAAUAUGGCCUCUAUGACCCACACGCGUCUUUUGACGCUCAUGACGAGACCUCAGGUCAGGCGGGGCUACCCGCUGAAUUUAAGCAUAUCAAUGAGCGGAGGA
rnacentral:misc_RNA from 1 species